rnacentral:rRNA from 1 species
GAUGAACGCUGGCGGCGUGCCUAACACAUGCAAGUCGAACGAGAAACUCCGGGCUUGCUCGGAGGAGUAAAGUGGCGCACGGGUGAGUAACGCGUGGGUAACCUGCCCCAGAAUCUGGGAUAACAUCGCGAAAGCGUUGCUAAUACCGGAUAUCGUCCUUAAAACUGUGGUUUUUUGGGAUGAAAGAUGACCUCUCCAUGGAAGUUGUCGUUCAGGGAGGGGCCCGCGUACCAUUAGCUUGUUGGUCGGGUAAUGGCCUACCAAGGCGACGAUGGUUAGCUGGUCUGAGAGGAUGAUCAGCCACACUGGAACUGAAACACGGUCCAGACUCCUACGGGAGGCAGCAGUGAGGAAUUUUGCGCAAUGGGGGAAACCCUGACGCAGCAACGCCGCGUGAGUGAAGAAGGCCCUCGGGUCGUAAAGCUCUGUCAAGGGGGAAAAACCCCUUUCGAUUAAUAGUCGGGAGGACUGAUGGUACCCCUAGAGGAAGCACCGGCUAACUCCGUG